rnacentral:rRNA from 1 species
UACGUAGGGUGCAAGCGUUGUCCGGAAUCAUUGGGCGUAAAGAGCUCGUAGGCGGCUUAGUUAGUCGGGUGUGAAAACCCCAGGCUCAACCUGGGGAGGCCACCCGAUACUGCUAUAGCUAGAGUCCAGUAGGGGAGUGUGGAAUUCCCAGUGUAGCGGUGAAAUGCGCAGAUAUUGGGAGGAACACCUGCGGCGAAGGCGGGUUGCUGGGCUGACACUGACGCUGAUUGUGCGAAAGCUAGGGGAGCGAACGGG